rnacentral:rRNA from 1 species
AAAAUUUUAAAAGUCGAACAGACUCAAUUAUAUAGCUUCUACACCAAUAAUUUAUUUUAAUCCAACAUCGAGGUCGCAAUCCCUUAUUUCGAUAAGAACUCUAAAAAAAGAUUACG